GGGCGGCGGCGCCCGUGGUGCUCGGCGCUGGAGGCUCGCGUCGGGACGGUUCGGCUCAGCGAAGUGGCCCGGAGCAUUAACAUUGCCUCCCCGGGAGGUGGCCCCGGCACCCCGCUUGCGAAUUUGGGUGUCUCCUUGCAGACUGAAGUGAUUGAUUUAAUCAUGAUGGCAUGGCUGUCAAGAUAUUAUUACCACUAUUGUCAGCAGCCUAAUAAUUACUCUACAGGAUGUGAAGACCCAGACUCACACAGAGAGAAGACUGCGUGAGGACACAGGUCAAGGAGAGAGGCCUCAGAGGGAACCACCCCUGGCGACACCUUGAUCUUGGGCUUCCAGCCUCCAGAACUGUGAGAAAAAACGAUGUUGUUGAAGCCACUCAGCAGUAUUUUAUUGUGAGCCUGAGCAGAUUAAUUCAGGGGUGGGGGAGGUGGCAAAGCAGUCAGAAGCAGCAUUUGACUUCAAGUACGAGUCCUACAAAUGCUGCAAGCUUCAAGCUCAGGGUUGCAUGCACAAAGUAAGUGCUGGUAAAUAUCUGCUCACUACUGAUUGGUUAGCAGACGGGGCUGAGGGUGCAGAAACUGCACCACAAAUACAGGCAAGUGCUCCCCCCACUGCACUUGCCUUCAUCAGCCUCCUCAGACACCUUGGAAACUGCUCUUGCCGGCAGCUACAGCUCUGACUCUUCACAUUUACUUGGGAGACAGAGGAGGGUAUAUCAUGACAACUGUUUUCUCAUUAGGAUAGUGAGUACUUGUGAGAGAUUGCAGGUGCACACCACAAUCCCCACCCUCCCCUUCCUUCUGAGUAAUAGAAGUCCAAUUUUAUUUGGGGUGGAGAUUGCCCAUCUCAGGGACUGUCUUUUCCAGCCUCUGGGCCCUCUUGGCCCUCAUGUGGUAUUCUGCCAAAUUCUGGGAAGUCUCCUUUAAAGGGAGGGGCUGCCUAUCUCACAUCCCCCUGCUGCUUCUUUCUGUUGCCUGGAAUGUGGAUGUCACAGCUGGAGUUGCAGCAGCCAUAUUGUUUCUUGAGUUGACUCUUAGAAGCCACAUGUGGCAGAAGAGAAAAACAGAAGAAGCCUGGGGUCUGAUGACUUCAUGAAGUUGCCGUUUCUGCCUGGAAAUGCUUGCUUUCAGAAUUAAAUCUUCCUGUGUUUAAACCACUGUAGUCAGAUUUUUGCUGUAUUCAGCUGAAUCUAAUCCUAACAUUUUCCAUGGAUCAAGAUCAAAUGAAGACAUUUUAGUACAAAGAGGUUUAAAAAAAUACAUUUUAGUAUAAAGAGGUUUAAAAAAGUACAUGAGCAGACACUUGGUGAGCAGAAUACCUCCUUUUCUGCUAGCCCUGUGGGAUCUGAGAACUCAGAUAAAUGGGGUGCCCUUCUUGUUCCCACAUUUACAACUUCACUUUCUCUUGGCCCUGAUGGAAAGGAAAGCCCUGAAUA